UACGUAGGCAGCAAGCGUUGUUCGGAAUUACUGGGCGUAAAGAGUGUGUAGGCGGUGCUCUAAGUUUGGUGUGAAAUCUCCCGGCUCAACUGGGAGGGUGCGCCGAAACUGGAAUGCUUGAACAUGGGAGAGGAAUGCGGAAUUCCAGGUGUAGCGGUGAAAUGCGUAGAUAUCUGGAGGAACACCGUGCGAAGGCGGCGUUCUGGACUGCAACUGACACUGAGGAACGAAGCCAGGGAGCAA
rnacentral:rRNA from 1 species